AAGUAAAAAUCCAAAUAAAGUUUCGUUAAAAUGAUACGGAUUUAUGCCGAGAGCCAGAAGUUUCAAAUGAACAGCAUGAGGUCAUUUUAACUUUUAAUCACAUUUACAUAGAAAAUUCCCAAACUUCUGAAUGAUUCAAGUCAUUUAAAGAGAUACAAGACAAACAGUGGACGCGGUGAAAAUUAAAAUCACUUAAUAUGAUUUUAGCCUUUCUAUUUAAUCAAUGUCAUUUGUCCAAUGGACAUGCGCUCACCAAGGACCAGUGUUUAAAGUUUUGUUGCGGUAAAGUUAUAGAAAAUCAAAAAUCAGGGCAAUGUUUUGCAAAUUCAAUACAGGGACGUUCAAUGGAAAUUCAAUGCAUUUAAAAAUCCACACAAAGAUUUGGGAUGUUUGGCUGGUGAAAUUUCUGGAAAAUGUAAAAAGUUCACACUAUAGUGACACAUCAUGAAAGUAGGGCAUCUAAGAAGAUCUUAAUGUAUUGAAAUCAAAGCCAAUAGUGGCAAGUUUGCCACAGCAAAAAAUACAUCAAACAUCUAUUGUUAAUUUAGUCAUUAAGGUUCUUUUUGUGUAAAAAGUACUGAAACAUUAACAGUUGGACCCAAUGCGUUCAGAAGCUUAGAGGAGGUCACAUUAACUUCACCUGGAAAGGUUAAAGUGCAUUUUAGGUUCAUCCUAAAAUUUCACCAGGAAGCCAAACAUAUCUGACUUUUCGUGAGCAAAAACAGAGCAGGUUCAUACACCAAGUAAAGCACCCAGACUGGUGGGAGUUAAGUUUUACUAGAUCUACUUCCCUGUUUUCCAAUCUUCUGCAACAAUUUAUCAAUGAUGCAAAUUUUAGGAAACGUUCAGAAAUCUUUUUAGAUUCACAAAUAGAAAAGGCUAAGACACAUUAAGCCACAACAAUUGCGUUUCAAGAAAAGUGCUUCCAGUGCUGGUUCAGAGCUGAGUGUAGCUCAAGUCUUUCUUAAAAAAACAACAGGAACCCUGAUUAAUCUCCGCUGCGCUGAGUCUAGAGAUGCAGCUAACAAUUAUUUUAGUAACUCAUUAUUCUAUCGAUUAUUAUGACGAUUACGGUAAUUGGAGAAAAUUUUUUUUCACUUUGUGAAGAUUUUUUAUUUAUCCACUCAAGGCUUUUUAUAAUAUGGAAAUAUACAAAUUAUUCAAAUUUUUACAUUUUUUAAAUAAUUAAAAGUUUUGAUGACUAGAAUGCUAUGACAGCACUCCUUUAGUGUAUGCUUCACCAUUUGUAGGAACGGAUGCAUCUGCAGCUAAAAAAAAAUACAUCUAGCAUCAACAUGUAAAAAGUUCAGCCCUACUUGAUUUAACAUCUAUAGGGUAGGGCUGAUCUGUUGAUUAUUUUUUUAAAUAAAUUAAUUAAUAACUGGAUAGCAAAAGGUGCUUAGUAAGAGUUUUGGAGUUAAAAUAAGCCCCUUGUUCUGGGUAGAACAUAACACACGUAUAUGUUUUUUGUACAAUUUUGGCUUACUUACUGCUCUGGGUAUGUUUUUCUUUCAGUAAACUGCUUUUUAUUGAGUCUGCAUACUUCAGAAAACAAUUAUUCAAUUUCAAAAGUUAUUUAAUCCAGUUAAUUGUUUCAGCCCUAAUAUAUUCCAGUUAAUAAUUAAACAUCUUUUCUGCAUGACAGAAGGUUUUGUAUAUAAAAAGGCCAAAACGUAAGCAAUAUGACACUACACACUGAACACACCACCGCCACACUAAAGCAUGUUGGUGGAGAUGCCUUUUUUCCCCACCCAGCAAGAUUAAUGAUGCUGGUGUAAGUCCAGCUGCAUGCGAGACCAACCUUCAACAGUUAAAACAAAAAUCAAUUAAUGCUAAAUAACAAAAUGCACUAAACAAGCACUGGAACCACUUUGGUGGAGAAACAAACCCAUACAGGAGAAGUGAACGUUACAUUACAUCAAGAAAACGGCAACAUGCAAAUGAUGUGAUAGGAAACUAUGGAUCCACCGACCAAAUCACACAACAUGCUGCCUCCGUAAAGACAAUGUACACAAGUAGAUGGUUCAUCUGGGCUACAUGUGCGCCUAUGAUUGGCUGGAGGGCUGAAGCCUGCCACCAAUCAUAAACUCACCAAGUAGAGCUGACAACACUUGAGUAAAACAGCUAAAAUUAAAGCUUUUUAAAAUAAAACA